UACGUAGGCAGCAAGCGUUGUUCGGAUUUACUGGGCGUAAAGGGUGCGUAGGCGGCCUUAUAAGUAUGGUGUGAAAUCUCCCGGCUUAACUGGGAGGGUGCGCUAUAGACUGUCGGGCUUGAGUAUGGGAGAGGUGAGUGGAAUUUCCGGUGUAGCGGUGAAAUGCGUAGAUAUCGGUAGGAACACCAGUGGCGAAGGCGGUCUCCUGGGGCACUCUUGACGCUGAGGCGCGAAAGCUGGGGGAGCGAACGGG
rnacentral:rRNA from 1 species